rnacentral:rRNA from 1 species
UACGGAGGGUGCGAGCGUUGUCCGGAAUCAUUGGGCGUAAAGGGCGCGUAGGUGGCCCGGUCAGUCUUUGGUGAAAGCGCGGGGCUCAACCCUGCGUCGGCCAGGGAUACUGCCGCGGCUCGAGCACUGUAGAGGCAGGCGGAAUUCCGGGUGUAGCGGUGGAAUGCGUAGAGAUCCGGAAGAACACCGGUGGCGAAGGCGGCCUGCUGGGCAGUUUAGCUGACACUGAGGCGCGACAGCGUGGGGGAGCAAACAGG